AUUGAACGCUGGCGGCAUGCCUUACACAUGCAAGUCGAACGGUAACAGGUCUUCGGAUGCUGACGAGUGGCGAACGGGUGAGUAAUACAUCGGAACGUGCCCGAGAGUGGGGGAUAACGAGGCGAAAGCUUUGCUAAUACCGCAUACGAUCUCAGGAUGAAAGCAGGGGACCGCAAGGCCUUGCGCUCACGGAGCGGCCGAUGGCAGAUUAGGUAGUUGGUGGGAUAAAAGCUUACCAAGCCGACGAUCUGUAGCUGGUCUGAGAGGACGACCAGCCACACUGGGACUGAGACACGGCCCAGACUCCUACGGGAGGCAGCAGUGGGGAAUUUUGGACAAUGGGCGAAAGCCUGAUCCAGCCAUGCCGCGUGCAGGAUGAAGGCCUUCGGGUUGUAAACUGCUUUUGUACGGAACGAAAAGACUCUUUCUAAUAAAGAGGGUCCAUGACGGUACCGUAAGAAUAAGCACCGGCUAACUACGUGCCAGCCGCCGCGGUAAUAC
rnacentral:rRNA from 1 species